ACCGUCUCAACGGGGUGCCCGGCGGAUCGCCGGGCUGAGAGCAUACCCGUCGAACCUGAUCCGGUUAAUGCCGGCGGAGGGAUUUGAGAGAGCCCGCUGC
rnacentral:ncRNA from 2 species